GGAUGUGAGGGCGAUCUGGCUGCGACAUCUGUCACCCCAUUGAUCUCCAGGGUUGAUUCGGCUGAUCUGGCUGGCUAGGCGGGUGUCCCCUUCCUCCCUCACCGCUCCAUGCGCGUCCCUCCCGAAGCUGCGUGCUCGGUCGAAGAGGAAGACCUUCCCCACUAGAGGAGGACCGGUCUUCGGUCAAGGGUUUACGAGUAGCUGUGCUCCCCUGCUAAAACCUCCAAACAAGCUCUCAAGGUCCAAAAUACCAUAAUUUCCUUGAACAUUCUUUACAAAAAGAAGCUGCCCCAAACCAAAACCAAUGUCUCCAACACUUU
rnacentral:snRNA from 1 species